rnacentral:rRNA from 1 species
ACUCCUACGGGAGGCAGCAGUGGGGAAUUUUGGACAAUGGGCGCAAGCCUGAUCCAGCCAUGCCGCGUGCGGGAAGAAGGCCUUCGGGUUGUAAACCGCUUUUGUCAGGGAAGAAAGGUUCUGGCUAAUACCUGGGACUCAUGACGGUACCUGAAGAAUAAGCACCGGCUAACUACGUGCCAGCAGCCGCGGUAAUACGUAGGGUGCAAGCGUUAAUCGGAAUUACUGGGCGUAAAGCGUGCGCAGGCGGUUAUGCAAGACAGAGGUGAAAUCCCC